rnacentral:lncRNA from 1 species
CUCGAUUGACUGGAGUCCCACCAGAGAAUGAGAGACCAGCUGCUCGUCCUCCUGCAUUGCCAAGGGCAAGGUCUCAGAGAUCUAGCAGGGAAGGCAUGUCAAUAGACCCUAGAAGGUCUGUAGACGAGAGCAGAAGAGGUACAGCUAGGGGAGGAAGAUCAGAGGAAAGGAGGGAAGCUAUGGAGACUGAUCCGUCUAUGGAUGAAGGUAUGGGCGAUUCCGAGGGAGGCGUUCAGGCCUCAGGUUAUGGCUAUCCAUCCUUGUUUCAGGAGCCAGAGUAUCCGAUGGAGGGUAUGUCGGAAUACUCUCGUUUUGACCCAUAUCCUACAUUAUCCAAUGUAUCCAUCUUCCCCUACCCAUCCAAGUGCAGCACACCUAGAGCCAAAUGAACCAGUAUUACCACCAGAAUCAGUAGCCCCUGUUGUUGACAGACAUGAACCUAGCUCAUCUGGAGGUAAAGUCCAAAUGAC